rnacentral:rRNA from 1 species
AGUGGGGAAUAUUGGACAAUGGGGGCAACCCUGAUCCAGCCAUGCCGCGUGUGUGAAGAAGGCCUUCGGGUUGUAAAGCACUUUAAGUUGGGAGGAAGGCUUUAAGGUUAAUACCCUUGAGGAUUGACGUUACCAACAGAAUAAGCACCGGCUAACUCCGUGCCAGCAGCCGCGGUAAUACGGAGGGUGCAAGCGUUAAUCGGAAUUACUGGGCGUAAAGCGCGCGUAGGCGGCCAUUUAAGCUAGAUGUGAAAGCCCAGGGCUUAACCUUGGAAUUGCAUUUAGAACUGUAUGGCUAGAGUAUGGAAGAGGAGUGUGGAAUUUCAGGUGUAGCGGUGAAAUGCGUAGAGAUCUGAAGGAACAUCAGUGGCGAAGGCGACACUCUGGUCCAAUACUGACGCUGAGGUGCGAAAGCGUGGGGAUCAAA